UACGGGGGGGGCAAGCGUUGUUCGGAAUUACUGGGCGUAAAGGGCUUGUAGGUGGCCAACUAAGUCAGACGUGAAAUCCCUCGGCUUAACCGGGGAACUGCGUCUGAUACUGGAUGGCUGGAGUGUGGGAGAGGGAUGCGGAAUUCCAGGUGUAGCGGUGAAAUGCGUAGAUAUCUGCAGGAGCACCCGUGGCGAAAGCGGCGCGCUGGACCACUACUGACGCUGAGGAACGAAAGCUAGGGGAGCAAACAGG
rnacentral:rRNA from 1 species